AGUGAACGCUGGCGGUAGGCCUAACACAUGCAAGUCGAACGGCAGCACAGUAAGAGCUUGCUCUUACGGGUGGCGAGUGGCGGACGGGUGAGGAAUACAUCGGAAUCUACUUUUUCGUGGGGGAUAACGUAGGGAGACUUACGCUAAUACCGCAUACGACCUACGGGUGAAAGCAGGGGAUCUUCGGACCUUGCGCGAUUGAAUGAGCCGAUGUCGGAUUAGCUAGUUGGCGGGGUAAAGGCCCACCAAGGCGACGAUCCGUAGCUGGUCUGAGAGGAUGAUCAGCCACACUGGAACUGAGACACGGUCCAGACUCCUACGGGAGGCAGCAGUGGGGAAUAUUGGACAAUGGGCGCAAGCCUGAUCCAGCCAUACCGCGUGGGUGAAGAAGGCCUUCGGGUUGUAAAGCCCUUUUGUUGGGAAAGAAAAGCAGCAGGUUAAUACCCCGCUGUUCUGACGGUACCCAAAGAAUAAGCACCGGCCAACUUCGUG
rnacentral:rRNA from 1 species